AACGAACGUUGGCGGCAUGGAUGAGGCAUGCAAGUCGCGGGAAUCCCAGCAAUGGGGGAACCGGCGUAAGGGGCAGUAAGGCGUGGGUACCCACCCCCGGGUCCGGGAUAGCCCGCCGAGAGGCGGGGUAAUACCGGAUGACCUCGGGAGAGCAAAGCUCCGGCGCCCGGGGCGGGGCCCACGUGAUAUUACCUGGUUGGCGGGGUAACGGCCCACCAAGGGGGAGAUGUCUAGCGGGUGUGAGAGCACGACCCGCGCCACUCGCACUGAGACACUGGCGAGACACCUACGGGUGGCUGCAGUCGAGGAUCUUCGGCAAUGGGGGCAACCCUGACCGAGCGAUGCCGCGUGGGCGACGAAGGCCUUCGGGUUGUAAAGCCCUGUCGAGGGGGAGAAAGCCGAAAGGCGGAUCCAUCCCUGGAGGAAGCUCGGGCUAAGUUCGUGCCAGCCGCCGCGGUAAGAC
rnacentral:rRNA from 1 species